rnacentral:rRNA from 1 species
UACAGAGGUCUCAAGCGUUGUUCGGAUUCAUUGGGCGUAAAGGGUGCGUAGGUGGUCAUGUAAGUCUAAUGUGAAAUCUCGGGGCUCAACCCCGAAAUUGCAUCGGAUACUGCGUGACUAGAGGACUGUAGAGGAGAUUGGAAUUCACGGUGUAGCAGUGAAAUGCGUAGAUAUGCGGAGGAACACCGAUGGCGAAGGCAAUCCCCUGGGCCUGCACUGACGCUCAUGCACGAAAGCGUGGGGAGCAAACAGG